CAGAAAGGCCAGUUUUCAAACUACCGUAUACAUUUGUUCUUCUCCAUUUUGUGUCUUGUUGAUUUGUGGAACACGGAACACAAGUGAAGGAAGGGGACCUAGAGGAACUACGGGUGGGCAAGAAAAGGAUUUGACUCUUGAAGAUAUCAGCGUUCUUCCUUGGGAGGCUUAAUGAAAAGUUAGGCAAAUGCAGACAGUCUAAUAGAAAGAAAUCGGGUGGGAGCUAAAUAUCCGAGCCCCAAAUCAAGUCGUUACGGUUCAGAUUCAGGACCUCCGAGCCAAAUCCGGGGUUUCUCUAAGCUAUACAGCAACAUUUGGGGUGCUCGAAAUGGAAUCCAGGCCAAAUCGGGGCUAAUUCUGGUUUUGUACGGGCACAUUAAAAUACAUGUGAGAGCUUCUUUACGCCUUGGCCAGGUAGGUACAAGGUCUAGGUAGAUGUUUAAGCUUUGCUUUGUCCCUUCGUAACCAUUACCUCUCUUCAUAAAUAGAAAUCUCUUCUUUUAUCCUUUUCUUUUA